CUGGCUUCUGCAACAUAUAUACUAAAAUUGGAAUGAUAUAGAGAAAUUUAGCAUGACCCCUGCAUAAGAAUGGCAUACAAAUAUGUGAAGUGUUCCAUAUUUUU